AAGACUAUAGACCUGCGGAGUACCUGCGGAAGGAUCAUUACCGAGUGAGGGCCCCCGGCCCGACCUCCAACCCUUUGUUGACAACACCCGUUGCCUCGGGGGCGACCCGGUCUCCGCGCCGGGGUCCCCGGUGGACCUUUGCAAAUCUGUGUCUAUACGUCGGAGUUACUUGAUGAAUUAAUCAAAACUUUUAACAACGGAUCUCU
rnacentral:misc_RNA from 1 species